rnacentral:rRNA from 1 species
UAGGGAAUCUUCGGCAAUGGACGAAAGUCUGACCGAGCAACGCCGCGUGAGUGAGGAAGGUUUUCGGAUCGUAAAACUCUGUUGGUAGAGAAGAACGUUGGUGAGAGUGGAAAGCUCAUCAAGUUGACGGUAACUACCCAGAAAGGGACGGCUAACUACGUGCCAG